ACGGGAGGCAGCAGUGAGGAAUAUUGGUCAAUGGGCGGAAGCCUGAACCAGCCAAGUCGCGUGAAGGAAGAAGGUAUUAUGUAUUGUAAACUUCUUUAGCAGCAGAGUAAUAAGGAGGUCGUGACCUCCGAUGCGAGUAUGCUGAAAAUAAGGAUCGGCUAACUCCGUGCCAGCAGCCGCGGUAAUACGGAGGAUCCGAGCGUUAUCCGGAUUUAUUGGGUUUAAAGGGUGCGCAGGCGGCUUUUUAAGUCAGUGGUUAAAUCGUGAGGCUCAACCUCAUCACGCCAUUGAUACUGGAGAGCUUGAUUGCGGUUGAGGUUGGCGGAAUUCGUCGUGUAGCGGUGAAAUGCAUAGAUAUGACGAAGAACCCCGAUUGCGUAGGCAGCUGACCAAGCCGUAAAUGACGCUCAUGCACGAAAGUGCGGGGAUCGAACAGGAUUAGAUACCCUGGUA
rnacentral:rRNA from 1 species